GGGGGUGUGGCUCAACAGUAGAGCACAUACCUAGAAUGUUUGAGGUCCUGGGUUCAAUCCAAAGCACCAUCA
rnacentral:tRNA from 1 species